AUUGAGGUAUGUGACUCAAAAAUAUUAUCUCCCAAAUACUUUAUUCAGAAACCUGCUGAGGGAUACCCUUCAAAAUCAAGAAGUCAAGAAAGAGUAACAUUUAGGACUUGGGUAGCGGAGAAUCCACAUGAAGAGAGGAGCAGAGUCCUAGCUAGAGACCGUGUAUGUUGGAGCAGACGGCCGGCCUCCCAGAGAUGCAGUGCCAGGAAGGCUGUUUAUUGGGGUCCCUUUCUCUCCAGCCCAUUUGCUGGAGUAGGGCUUUGCAAAGCCGGUCUCCUAGCAGCCGAGUGCAGAAGGCCCAUUCGUAUUACAAUGGACGGGAAGGAAAGAAAGAGCCUGGUCUGUUUAAACUGCCUCUGUCUUCAUUCACAGCCUGAUGUCCGCCUGCAUUGUGACACCCACAAUGGCACUAAAGGACUCAUUGUGGCCGAAAACAAAUCAAAACAGAAUAAGGGACGCUAAGAUAAAAGAGUCAUGCAGCAAAAUUGCUUAAAAAAUCUAAGUCUUACAUCUGAGAUUUAUGUUACCUUUUGGCUGUGUGGCCUAUUGACCGGUGUUUAUAAUAACCACUAGAGUUUAAUAAACAAAAAGAUAAAUGGGGACUUCA
rnacentral:lncRNA from 1 species